GGGGGGGGGGGGGGGGGGGGGGGGGGGGGGGGGGGGGGGGGGGGGGGGGGGGGGGGGGGGGAGACAGGCUGGAUGGGAAUUGGAGCAGCCUGGGACAGUGGAAGGUGUCCCUGCCCAUGGCAGGGGGUGGCACUGGAUGAGCUUUAAGAUCCCUUCCAGCCCAAACUCUUCUGUGGUUACAGUUUAUUUCAGCUUUAGCCCAGCAGUGAAGACAUCAUUUCAAUAGCACCAGUACCAUAAAUUUUUUUCAGCACAGUGGAUAUCAGAAAAUCAAAAUCCUUCUCUGGUUUUCAGUACAGGGAUGUUCUGGUUGUCCAUUCCUCACAGUGACCAUAAGCCACAUCCAGCAGGGAAUUCUACAAAACCAUUAACCAUUCCUUCUCAUGCUGCUUUCUUUCAGACAUGGCAAUUCCACUGCUUUUGGCUGGGGAAAAGCAGGAUUUUGUGCUUCUUUCUAUGGUUAUUGCAGUGAGCACAGUGGACUCUGGAAAGACCAUUGCUGGUGUGCCAGGUUGUUUUGCAGAUGUUUCACAAAGUUUCAGGAUAUUUAUGGCAAUCUGUAUAAAGAAGACAAAGUGCAAACAUUCAGAACCCCCUUCUUCUGACCUGACUUGUAAUA
rnacentral:lncRNA from 12 species